rnacentral:rRNA from 1 species
AACCUCCGCAAUGUGAGAAAUCGCGACGGGGGGAUCCCAAGUGCCAUUCUUAACGGGAUGGCUUUUCUUAAGUGUAAAAAGCUUUUGGAAUAAGAGCUGGGCAAGACCGGUGCCAGCCGCCGCGGUAACACCGGCAGCUCUAGUGGUAGCUGUUUUUAUUGGGCCUAAAGCGUUCGUAGCCGGUUUGAUAAGUCACUGGUGAAAUCCUGUAGCUUAACUGUGGGAAUUGCUGGUGAUACUGUUGAACUUGAGGUCGGGAGAGGUUAGCGGUACUCCCAGGGUAGAGGUGAAAUUCUGUAAUCCUGGGAGGACCACCUGUGGCGAAGGCGGCUAACUGGAACGAACCUGACGGUGAGGGACGAAAGCUAGGGGCGCGAACCGGAUUAGAUACCCGGGUAGUCCUAGCCGUAAACGAUGCGGACUUGGUGUUGGGAUGGCUUUGAGCCGCUCCGGUGCCGAAGGGAAGCUGUAAGUCCGCCGCCUGGGAAGUACGGUCGCAAGACUGAAACUUAAAGGAAUU